AGUGGACAACUGAUCAAGGACUCAAAAGAAUGUAACCUUUUGUCUUUUACCUACUGCUGACCUGAAGCCCCCACUUUGAAUUUUCCUGCCUUACCAGACUGUACCAAUGUUAAUCUUACAUGUAUUAAUUGAUGUCUCUUUUUUUUUUUUUUGCUAUUGUAAACAGUGCUGCAAUGAACUUACGUGUGCAUGUGUCUUUAUAAUAGAACAAUUUAUAAUUCUUUGGGUAUAUACCCAGUAAUGGGAUUGCUGGGUCAAAUGGUAUUUCUAUUUCUAGGUCCUUGAGGAAUCGCCACACUGUCUUCCACAAUGGUUGAACUAAUUUAUACUCCCACCAACAGUGCAAAAGUGUUCCUAUUUCUCCACAUCCUCUCCAGCAUCUAUUGUCUCCUGAUUUUUUUUAAGAGAAGGAAAGAAAAAAAAGAGGGAAGGAGAGGAAGAAAGAGGAAGAAAAAGAGGGAGAGAGGAUGGGAAUGUUGCUUUAUUCUAAAAAUGGAAACCAAAGAGAAGCUGUAUGAGGACCUGUUCAGGGAAGUCUUCACCAAAGCUGAUCGUGCUGGCACUCUAAUCUUGGACUUCGUUUCCAGAACUAUGAGAAAUAAAUGUCUUAAG
rnacentral:lncRNA from 13 species